CCCUUAGAUGUUCUGGGCCGCACGCGUGCUACGCUGAGUAAUUCAAUGGGUAAGGGAACGCUAGAGCAUUACCUAAUCUUGAAAUUUGCUCGUGAUGGGGAUCGACGGUUGCAAUUUUCCGUCGUGAACGAGGAAUACCUUGUAGGCGCAUGUCAUCAUCAUGCGCCGAAUACGUCCCUGCCCUUUGUACACACCGCCCGUCGCUCCUACCGAUUGAGUGAUCCGGUGAGGCUCUGGGACCUGGACGGAAAGAGCGUCUCGCUUGUUCUGUUUGGGAAACUUGGUCGAACCUUAUCAUUUAGAGGAAGGAGAAGUCGUAACA
rnacentral:rRNA from 1 species